rnacentral:rRNA from 1 species
CUCCGGUUGAUCCUGCCGGACCCGACUGCUAUCAGAGUGGGACUAAGCCAUGCGAGUCGACGUAGCAAUGCGUGGCGAACGGCUCAGUAACACGUAGUCAACAUGCCCAGGGGACGUGGAUAACCUCGGGAAACUGAGAAUAAACCACGAUAGGUCACGAUUUCUGGAAUGGAUCAUGGCCUAAAUCUACAUGGCCCCUGGAUUGGACUGCGGCCGAUCAGGCUGUUGGUGAGGUAAUGGCCCACCAAACCUAUAACCGGUACGGGCUCUGAGAGGAGAAGCCCGGAGAUGGGCACUGAGACAAGGGCCCAGGCCCUAUGGGGCGCAGCAGGCGAGAAACCUUAGCAAUGUGCGAAAGCACGACUGGGUCAGUCCGAGUGAUUCCUGAUAAAGGAGUCUUUUGCUUGUCCCAAAAGCACAGGUGAAUAAGGGGUGGGCAAGUCUGGUGUCAGCCGCCGCGGUAAUACCAGCUCCUCGAGUGGUCGGGGCGAUUAUUGGGCCUAAAGCAUCCGUAGCCGGUUCCGUAGGUCCUCUGUUAAAUCCAACCGCUUAACGGUUGACCUGCAGAGGAUACCGCGGGACUAGGAGGCGGGAGAGGCGGACGGUACUCCGCGUGUAGGGGUAAAAUCCUUUGAUCCGCGGAAGACCACCAGUGGCGAAGGCGGUCCGCCAGAACGCGCUCGACGGUGAGGGAUGAAAGCUGGGGGAGCGAACCGGAUUAGAUACCCGGGUAGUCCCAGCCGUAAACGAUGCUAGCUAGAUGAUUCAUUCGCAAGUCGCGAAUGAAGUGUCGCAGGGAAGCCGUUAAGCUAGCCGCCUGGGGAGUACGGUCGCAAGACUGAAACUUAAAGGAAUUGGCGGGGGAGCA